rnacentral:sRNA from 1 species
UAAAACCUCUUGUUUUAUUCUAAGUUGGCAGCCCUUAAAACUAACUAUGUGGUCCCCACUACAGUUAGAAUAUGUGUUGUUGUCACUCAACCUCAACUGACAAGAUACUGAGUCGAUACGGUGAUCGCCUGCGCACUUGCCAUAGACUGGAUUUUUAGCGUAAUUUAGUAAUUUAGCGUGUGCCCAAGAUGCCAACUCUUGGAAUGUCAGCCGUUUCGUUGAUCAAUGGUGAAAAAUUUUAUUCCAGGGCUCAGUAUGGCUGAG